UACCAGCUCUCCGAGUGGUAGGGAUGAUUAUUGGGCUUAAAGCGUCCGUAGCCGGCUUAGCAAGUUUCCUGUUAAAUUCAGCGACCUAAUCGUUGAGCCGCGGGAAAUACUACUAGGCUAGGAGGCGGGAGAGGUCGACGGUACUUCUGGGGUAGGGGUGAAAUCCUAUAAUCCCGGGAGGACCACCAGUGGCGAAGGCUGUCGACUAGAACGCGCUCGACGGUGAGGGACGAAAGCUGGGGGAGCGAACCGGAUUAGAUACCCGGGUAGUCCCAGCUGUAAACGAUGCGGGCUAGGUGUUGGGGUGGCUACGUGCCACUUCAGUGCCGCAGGGAAGCCAUUAAGCCCGCUGCCUGGGGAGUACGGCCGCAAGGCUGAAACUUAAAGGAAUUGGCGGGGGAGCACCACAAGGCGUGAAGCUUGCGGUUC
rnacentral:rRNA from 1 species